GGCUGUAGCUCAUUGGUGGAGCACUUGCCUAGCGCGUAUGAGGCCCUGGGUUUGAUCCCUAGCAGUC
rnacentral:tRNA from 1 species